rnacentral:rRNA from 1 species
CCUACGGGAGGCAGCAGUGGGGAAUAUUGGGCAAUGGGCGCAAGCCUGACCCAGCAACGCCGCGUGAAGGAAGAAGGCUUUCGGGUUGUAAACUUCUUUUGUUAGGGAAGAGUAGAAGACGGUACCUGACGAAUAAGCCACGGCUAACUACGUGCCAGCAGCCGCGGUAAUACGUAGGUGGCAAGCGUUGUCCGGAUUUACUGGGUGUAAAGGGCGUGUAGCCGGGUUGACAAGUCAGAUGUGAAAUCCUGCGGCUUAACCGCAGAACUGCAUUUGAAACUGUCGAUCUUGAGUACUGGAGAGGCAGGCGGAAUUCCUGGUGUAGCGGUGAAAUGCGUAGAUAUUAGGAGGAACACCAGUGGCGAAGGCGGUCUGCUGGACAGCAACUGACGGUGAGGCGCGAAAGCGUGGGGAGCAAACAGGAUUAGAUACCCGAGUAGUC